rnacentral:rRNA from 1 species
UACGUAGGGUGCAAGCGUUGUCCGGAAUUAUUGGGCGUAAAGAGCUCGUAGGCGGUCUGUCGCGUCUGCUGUGAAAACCUGGGGCUUAACCCCGGGCCUGCAGUGGGUACGGGCAGACUAGAGUGCGGUAGGGGAGACUGGAAUUCCUGGUGUAGCGGUGAAAUGCGCAGAUAUCAGGAGGAACACCGGUGGCGAAGGCGGGUCUCUGGGCCGUAACUGACGCUGAGGAGCGAAAGCAUGGGGAGCGAACAGGAUUAGAAACCCCCGUAGUCC